GGUGACUAUGACUCAGUGAAAAGAGUGGUUGUCUUGCAAUCUGUAAAUUGUGGGUUCGAUUCCAGCUUUCUCCU